ACAGGCUCGUUUAUUUAUAAUCGAGGCAAUAAGGGUAGUCGAAUGAUCGUUUCACUUUGGAGUUUUUUCUCCUAUCGCGUAGAGACGUCGGGAUUAAAUUAAUCCAGCGUUCUUUUAUCUCACUCUCUGUUGUCUCACCUUCUCUAUCUCGAAAUAAUUGUAAAAUCGAGCUUGCGUGAAAUACAUAAAGUGAAAAUUUCAACUUGAAAAAUUGUAACAAUAUUCUCCAUCUGUUACAUAUACAUGUAUAGUAUAUAUACAUUAUACGUACGUAGCCCCCCGUAUGUGUAUAUCGAUUGUGACUGUGAUCUUUUUAAGGAUAUAAAAAAUAAAAUUUAAAAGAAAAAAAAGAAAGAAAAGAAAAUAAAUAAACAAACAAAUUUCUUGUGAUACUAAGGAUAUAUACCUACGCAUGUAAACGAAGAAUGGAAGUAACUGAAGCGAUUAAGGAUCACCACCUGCACCAACAUCUCGCGACUUCUUUUCCCGACGGGGCUAAAACCGAUCGUUAACAACCGAAGCAAGGGAGACAGACACCAAUAUAGAGGAGCGAAGGAGGAUCGAGGGAGAGCAGCCAGCGAGUCUGUAAUGAUCUAUCCGUCGUCGGCAUCGUCGUCACUUUUGUAUAACCCCUCCUCCUGGACGGACGGCAGUAGACUUGUGUGCUUCGGCCUAACAAGUAUAACCGAGGAAAAUGAUUCAGUGGCUCGCUUCGCUUCGUCAAAGACUUGCGAUUAGCCGUUUCUACUCCUUCACCUCGCGGAUUAUACCUCGAGGAUUCUUACCGAUGGACACGUGAAAUUUACACGCUAUUAUACACACCUAUAUUGCAUAUACGUGAACCGUAUAUAAAUACAUAUAUAUAUAAAUAUAUAUAUAUAUAUAUACAUACACACCGUGUGUACCGAAUACUCGGCACGGAUUGCGAUUUGUGCUUUUUUCGCUCUCGGUUAUACUCUUCGUUUUCAGUGUUUCGUUUAUCAAAUCGCGCGCGAGGUGUUCUUAGUUCAUAUCCUGCAUACGAGACACUCGGUUUCUCGGUUUCUUACAUCUAAAUCGUUUUAUAAUUUUUGACAUGGUGCAACCAUCGAGUGUGUCUUCUAAUUAUUGCUUUAACGCUGCCUUGUGAUCACCGUCGAAACGACAACUCUUCUUCAAAGGAUCAUUGAACCGGUUGGCAGAGUCCGGGGAACCCCCGGGGCCCCGGGCAGGGCCGCAGGCAACCAAGUCCCGCCGCCCUCUCCCCGGGGGGUGGCGCGGGAGCCGUCAGCGUGGGGGCGCAGCGGUACGUAGCGAGAUUCGCGCGUCGGAUCGCCCGGAGGCUUGCGCGUAGGCUCGGCAGGGGCUCCCUGGGCCCCAGCCGCGGUCUCGGCCUGGCGGCGGCGACGACGACGACCGGUGGGUCCGGCCCAAACGGGGCGACGGUGGUGACGGGGCCUGGCGAAGACCUGCCGGCCCCCCCCACGCGCCCCGAAACCCACCACACCCACCAUCAUCCCAGGGGGAGAGCCAUGUCCAUGCGGAGUCUUCAUCGGCGCGUCUCUCACCCUUGCCACGGAAUUGAGAAUCCACAUGCAGAAAAGCAUGAGAAAAUCCAGUCUCAGGAGCUUGACACUUCAUGGCCAUUUUCUUUGUAAGUUACUCUACACUUUAUUAUAUAUACAC